UCUAUCCAGAUAAAAAUUGAACAUCCUUACACAUUCUUUUCUAAUUGCAGGAAUAAAAAGAAAUCAAUCGUCUUUAUCAUCUCUAUCAUCUCGAGCAGAUCGAUAUCUCUCUUAACAUCCGAUACAAUUUCCAUCUGGCACAUUACAGCCACAUCCUUUCAUCGUCGAAACAUAAAAUUCCCUCUGCCCUUACGCGUCGUGAAGAAAAAGAAAGUAAGACAGAAAAAAAGGGGGAGAGAGAAAAAGAGAAUAAAUCUGCCAGCCUACAUACUUUUCCCGAUCGAUACUCGUCGAUCGUCAAAGAGUCGCACGACCGUAAAGAAACUGUCGUUCGCCUCGAUUUCAAUGCAUACACAUCUUUUACGUGCUCGAUAGAGUGUGAUGCAGUGUGACGUUCGAUGAAUAACGAUCACCCACCCAGGCCAUCGACACAUCGCAACGUUAUGCCGCGCAACAUCAGCAGGAAACAACUUUGAUCAAGGAAUCGUGACUCCUUUUCUUCCGUUUUCGAAUCGAAUACAUUUUCGACACGAGCCGAGGACAACGUUCGAGGACUCUCCAAUUUCCUGUUACGACGAUUCUUCGAGGAAGUGGCAUACCUUCCUUAAAAAUCGAGGUUUUGACCAGAAGGAAAUUAGAAGAUUGGAAGGUUUGUCGAGUAAUUACAAGUUAAAUAGAGCGUAGAAACUCGAGUCACUAUAUCGAUUAAUAUUAAUUUCGUCGCGUUAUAAAUAUCGAAAUUGCAUAGAAUUUUAUAUAAAAAAACGUAAAUGAAUAAUAAUAAGGAACAAAGAAAGAAAGAAAGAAUCUUUGGAAUUCUUUUUCAAGAAUAAUAUGAUGGAAGAUGGACGAAAAAGAAUUGUACGAAUCCAAUAAUUAAAAGGAGUUACAUUUUGCAACAAUUGCGUUUUGAGGAUAUACAGCAUCUCUCUCUAUUUUAAUGGCAACUUAAAUUAAAAACCACGAAAUCACUCUAAUUACAACAAAAUUCAACAACAAAAGUGAAAUGGACACAAUUUCUCUUCAAUUCUGUCGAGCCCAAAAAGAAAAAAGAACAGAUUCCUUGAACAAUUAUAUAUUACUAUAUUUCUCUGAUACAACAAACUCUCUUUCCCUCUUUUCCUCUCUCUCUUCAAAGAAAUUUUAGUUCCCUAACUAACCAAUUUUCUUUCACUUUACAGGAAACAACUUAAAUUAGAAACCACGAAAUCACUCUAAUUACAACAAAAGUGGAAUGGACACAAUUUGUCUUCAAUUCUGUCGAACCCAAAAAAAAAAAAAGAACAGAUUCCUUGAACAAUUAUAUAUUACUAUAUUUCUCUGCUACAACAAACUCUCUCUCUUUCUUUCUUCAAAGAAAUUUUAGUUCCCUAACUAACCAAUUUUCUUUCACUUUACAGGGGAUAACUUAAAUGAAAAAAUCACUCUAAUUACAACAAAGUUCAACAACAAAAGUGAAAUGGACACAAUUUCUCUUCAAUUCUGUCGAAUCCUCAAAAAAGAAAAAAGAACAGAUUCCUUGAACAAUUAUAUAUUACUAUAUUUCUCUGCUACAACAAACUCUCUCUCUCUCUCUCUCUUCAAAGAAAUUUUAGUUCCCUAACUAACCAAUUUUCUUUCACUUUACAGAGAAAAUUAAAUUAGAAACCACGAAAUCACUCUAAUUACAACAAAAGUAAAAUGGACACAAUUUGUCUUCAAUUCUGUCGAACCCCAAAAAAAGAAAAAAGAAAAAAGAAGAGAUUCCUUGAACAAUUAUAUAUUACUAUAUUUUUCUGCUACAACAAACUCUCUCUCUCUCUCUUUCUUCAAAGAAAUUUUAGUUCCCUAACUAACUAAUUUUCUUUCACUUUACAGAGAACAACUUAAAUUAAAAAUUACGAAAUCACUCUAAUUACAACAAAAGUAAAAUGGACACAAUUUGUCUUCAAUUCUGUCGAACCCAAAAAAAAAAAAAAAAAGAACAGAUUCUUUUUACAAUAUCAAAAUGCAAUAAGAAAGGAAGGCAAAGCACACGAAACGGUUGAGGUGAUUUCCUUCGGAGAACGCCUUGAUCCCCCUCCCUCCCCUCCCCCUCUUCCUCUUUCGAAUCGAAUCGGCAGCAUGAAUGGAAACGAGAUUUCUCGUCAAUCAAGGUGAAUGUCUGAAGGCGGAGGAGGAAUAGAGGUCGAUAUCGGAGGCGGACACGACAAGGCAUAGUAAUUAACAGACGUUUCGAUCGCGCGAGUACCAUCGGUCCUCAACAAAUUGUGGUCUGUGAUCUAAAUGUGUGAACGGACCAACUCCGGGGGGAUUCGACUUGAUGGCGGUUAGAGAAUUUCAAGGGAUCAGGCUUGCUAACGUGUAUUAUAUUCUGAAUAGUUGUCGUUAGUUGCUGACAAAUUUUCUCUUGUCCCGGCGUGUCGUCGCUCUUCAACAACGGCCGCCCCUCGACAGCCUGCUGAAACUCGAGUAUCGUCCCCGUUUCUCUCGAUGGAAUUAUCAUACCGACGCGGCGGAUUCUAAACGAGAUAAUAUUUCAAGAUUUCUUUCCAAAAGGAUUUUGUAUCUUCGUUUCUUCGAAAUUGUCAACUUUUAUUCGAGUUAUCCAUCUAAAAACUAUGGAUUUGUUUUUCUUUCUGGAUUGCAAGAAAUGUUAUUUCUGAAGAUAUAUAUUCUACACUGUUCUUGUAUUAAUUUCAUUUUAAUUUUCCCUUUCCAGCGGAUUCUAAGCGAGAUAUUUUAAGAUUUCUUUCUAAAAGAAAUUAUAUCUUCGUUUCGAAAUUUUUAUUGGAGUCAAUGAGUUGAUUACACGAAGAAAAAUCGGAAGUUUUGUCCAUCUAAAAACGAUGGAUUUGCUUUUCUUUCUGGAUUGUAAGAAAUGUUAUUUCUGAAGCUAUAUAUUCUACACUGUUCUUGUAUUAAUUUCAUUUUAAUUUUCCCUUUCCAGCGGAUUCUAGCGAGAUAAUAUUUCAAGAUUUCUUUCUAAAAGAAAUUAUAUCUUCGUUUCGAAAUUUUUAUUGGAGUCAAUGAGUUGAUUAUACGGAGAGAAGUCGAAAGUUUUGUCCAUCUAAAAACUAUGGAUUUGCUUUUGUUUCUCGAUUGCAAGAAAUGUUAUUUCUGAAGAUAUAUAUUCUACACUGUUCUUGUAUUAAUUUCAUUUUAAUUUUCCCUUUCCAGCGGAUUCUAAGCGAGAUAAUAUUUCAAGAUUUCUUUCCAAAAGGAUUUUGUAUCUUCGUUUCGAAAUUGUCAACUUUUAUUCGAGUCAAUGAAUUGAUUACACGGAGAGAAAUCGGAAGUUUUAUCCAUCUAAAAACUAUGGAUUUGCUUUUCUUUCUGGAUUGCAAGAAAUGUUAUUUCUGAAGAUAUAUAUUCUACACUGUUCUUGUAUUAAUUUCAUUUUAAUUUUCCCUUUCCAGCGGAUUCUAAGCGAGAUAAUAUUUCAAGAUUUCUUUCCAAAAGGAUUUUGUAUCUUCGUUUCGAAAUUGUCAACUUUUAUUCGAGUCAAUGAAUUGAUUACACGGAGAGAAAUCGGAAGUUUUAUCCAUCUAAAAACUAUGGAUUUGCUUUUCUUUCUGGAUUGCAAGAAAUGUUAUUUCUGAAGAUAUAUAUUCUACACUGUUCUUGUAUUAAUUUCAUUUUAAUUUUCCCUUUCCAGCGGAUUCUAAACGAGAUAAUAUUUCAAGAUUUCUUUCCAAAAGGAUUUUGUAUCUUCGUUUCGAAAUUGUCAACUUUUAUUCGAGUCAAUGAGUUGAUUAUACGAAACAAGAAAAGUCGGAAGUUUUGUCCAUCUAAAAACUAUGGAUUUGGUUUUUGUUUCUCGAUUGCAAGAAAUGUUAUUUCUGAAGCUAUAUAUUCUACACUGUUCUUGUAUUAAUUUCAUUUUAAUUUUCCCUUUCCAGCGGAUUCUAAACGAGAUAAUAUUUCAAGAUUUCUUUCCAAAAGGAUUUUGUAUCUUCGUUUCGAAAUUGUCAACUUUUAUUCGAGUCAAUGAGUUGAUUAUACGAAACAAGAAAAGUCGGAAGUUUUGUCCAUCUAAAAACUAUGGAUUUGGUUUUUGUUUCUCGAUUGCAAGAAAUGUUAUUUCUGAAGCUAUAUAUUCUACACUGUUCUUGUAUUAAUUUCAUUUUAAUUUUCCCUUUCCAGCGGAUUUUAAACGAGAUAUUUCAAGAUUUCUUUCUAAAAGAAAUUAUAUCUUCAUUUCGAAAUUUUUAUUGGAGUCAAUGAGUUGAUUACACGGAGAGAAGUCGAAAGUUUUGUCCAUCUGAAAACUAUGGAUUUGCUUUUCUUUCUGAAUUCGCACGAGCAUGCCGCACGAAACAAAGGAUUAUUAGUAUGCCAGGCUCACGUACGCCUUUCCAUUAUUAUAAGUACAUAUCGUUUGUGCUGGUGAAUUUGGAUGAUAUCGCGUAAUAUGGGUCAGGAUAGUCCAUUUAAUCUUCCCCGGCUCGUGUUAUGCCGGUGAAUAAUGCAAAUUAGGCAACGGAUAACACGAUCGUAUACAACGAUCAUAUUUCGAUUACUCGAGAUCUUUACUCGCUGGAAGUGAAAAUUAUCGUUCUCGAAGAAUUUUUUCCCAUUUUAUUUAUUUCCUUUCUUAUUUAAAUUGAAUUGAAUCGAAUAGAUAUCGUUUACGAGCAGAUAUUCAAUUCGUACGUAUAUACACGGACGAAUGAAAGUUUUGCAAUUAGUGGAUGGCGUUCUAAUCGUUAACCAUAACCUUGUUUUAACAACUUUGUUUCGCCGAUGAUAGAACGUCGAGUCGAAGCGAACGAAGAUUCGACUCGUCGUGUGUAUAAAUUAUAAUCUUCCGCUUUGAGUAAUAAUAUUUUAUCGUUGAAUCAAAGUGAAGCAUAGAAUAGAAUAGGAUGGAAUAAAAGUUAGAAACGAAAAGAAACGAAAUUGAAAAGAUUUGUGUAAACGAUUAAAAAAUAAUAAAAAGAAAAAAAGAAGAAGAAGAAAAGAGUUUGUUUGAGAGCUUGUUAAUCACCAAAUUUUGAAUUUGAAUUAUUACUUUUUUUUUUUCAAAAUUGAUUCUAAAUAUAAAUUGUUGCAAUCUCUAA